rnacentral:tRNA from 1 species
CAGGAUAUAGCUCAGCUUGGUAGAGCAUCUGCUUUGGGAGCAGACUGUCAGAGGUUCAAGUCCUCUUAUCCUGACCA